GGUAAUGUGGCGCGCAAGGUACAGGCCGGAUCAAACGCAGCAGCCAGGAGGGCCAGCUCCGUCGUGCGGGCCGUGGAUGCACCCGAG
rnacentral:SRP_RNA from 1 species